rnacentral:rRNA from 1 species
UGGGGAAUAUUGCACAAUGGGCGCAAGCCUGAUGCAGCCAUGCCGCGUGUGUGAAGAAGGCCUUCGGGUUGUAAAGCACUUUCAGCGAGGAGGAAGGUGGUGAGCUUAAUACGCUCAUCAAUUGACGUUACUCGCAGAAGAAGCACCGGCUAACUCCGUGCCAGCAGCCGCGGUAAUACGGAGGGUGCAAGCGUUAAUCGGAAUUACUGGGCGUAAAGCGCACGCAGGCGGUUUGUUAAGUCAGAUGUGAAAAUCCCCGGGCUCAACCUGGGAACUGCAUUUGAAACUGGCAAGCUAGAGUCUCGUAGAGGGGGGUAGAAUUCCAGGUGUAGCGGUGAAAUGCGUAGAGAUCUGGAGGAAUACCGGUGGCGAAGGCGGCCCCCCUGGACGAAGACUGACGCUCAGGUGCGAAAGCGUGGGGCAGCAAACAGGAUUAGAUACCCUGGUAGUCCACGCUGUAAAACGAUGUCGAUUUGGAGGUUGUGCCCUUGAGGCGUGGCUUCCGGAGCUAACGCGUUAAAUCGACCGCC